UCAGGGUAUUAAACCUCCAUGUAUAUCUCACUAGGUCAGGGUAUUAAACCUCCAUGUAUAUCUCACUAGGUCAGGGUAUUAAACCUCCAUGUAUAUCUCACUAGGCCAGGAUAUUAAACCUCCUCCAUGUAUA